UACAGAGGUGGCAAGCGUUGUUCGGAAUUACUGGGCGUAAAGGGCGCGUAGGCGGCCUUGCAAGUGACGGGUGAAAUCCCUCGGCUUAACCGAGGAACUGCCUGUCAAACUGCAUGGCUUGAGACCGGGAGAGGUGAGUGGAAUUCCCAGUGUAGCGGUGAAAUGCGUAGAUAUUGGGAGGAACACCAGUGGCGAAGGCGGCUCACUGGACCGGUACUGACGCUGAGGCGCGAAAGCGUGGGUAGCAAACAGG
rnacentral:rRNA from 1 species